CAGCCAUGCCGCGUGUGUGAAGAAGGCCUUCGGGUUGUAAAGCACUUUCAGCGAGGAGGAAGGCGUUAAGGUUAAUAACCUUACCGAUUGACGUUACUCGCAGAAGAAGCACCGGCUAACUCCGUGCAAGCAGCCGCGGUAAUACGGAGGGUGCAAGCGUAAUCGGAAUUACUGGGCGUAAAGCGCACGCAGGCGGUUUGUUAAGUCAGAUGUG
rnacentral:rRNA from 1 species